GCCCGCGGGCGCGGCCUAACUGCUCGCCCGCCCGCCCGCUGCUCGCCCCCCGGCGCCCGAGGGUCGCAGUACCUGGGCGGCGGCCUCCAGCUUGCCCUCGAAGGGAGGCCGCGGUCGGCGAACGGGGAAGGCGAGAGGAGGCGCUUGGCGCUGCACCUGUCGUCGGCCGGUGGCAGGAAAGAGCCACGAAGGGCAUGGAGGAGCUCUGUGGAAAAUGGAAGCCUACGCAGCGGUCAAGAAAUAGCCAGUUGAAGGGAUGAUCUGAAAACAGUUUUCCGAGGAAACACUUAGUUAUUCAAGGUCGCUCCAACCAGUGAAAUCUAGACCUUUUAGGAGAGUGGUUUCAAAGACUAGAAAUACAGGAUCCCACGAUUUCAUAUUUAAAACAAGAUGCUUCAUUGCUGGGCACGGAGGCUGAGGCAGGACGAUCAUCAUGGGCCAGCCUGGACUACAGAGGUUUCACUCUAUAGCCUAUGCUGGCCUCAAAAUCACUAUAUAGAGCAGCCUGGCACGGAGCCUUUCAGCAGUUUUCCUGCCUCAGCCUUACAGGCAGCAGCAGCAGCCCCACCACCAGUUGGUUUGUUUCCCUAUUUUAUUUUCCAUUUCUCCUCCUCUACUUUUCUAUCUUUCUUUCUUUUUCAAAAACAGGGUCUCACUAUAUAGCCCUGGCUAGCAUGAAAUUAACUAUGAAAACUGGUUGGCACUUAACUCUCAAAGAUCUGCCCAUCUGUGCUUCCCAAGUGCUAGAAUUAAAGUCCUAAACCACCGUGC
rnacentral:lncRNA from 1 species